UUUGAAUUUCCUAGAUUUGAUGGUAGCAACCCCGUAGAAUGGCUGAGAACUACUGAGAAAAUUUUCUCAUUAGUAUAUGUGCCCGAGGAGGCCAAAUGGGAUUAUGCCCAGAUGUAUCUAGCUGGCAGAGCUGACAUAUGGCUAAGGAAUUCUGGCAUAUUGGAGGAAAAUCUUACUUGGGAACAAUUAUUUAAAGUGGUAGUCAGAAGAUUUUUAGGUGAUAGCUCUUAUGAAGUAGUGGAAAACUUCAAGUACACUAACGAAUUUGAAGAAAAGAUGUCUUCAUAAAAAAAGGAGAACCCGAGAAUUAUUGAAGGUUAUUAUGUCAAAUUUUGUAUCAAUGGGCUGAAGCUAGAAAUAAAAGACUACCUGAAACCCUUCAAACCACAGACACUAUACGAUGCAGUGGAAAUGGCUAGAGACAUGGAAAUGGGAGUACAGGCCCAAUGUACAUAG
rnacentral:rRNA from 1 species